UGAUCUUAGCCAAAAGGCCGAGA
rnacentral:ncRNA from 2 species